GACGAACGCUGGCGGCGUGCCUAAUACAUGCAAGUUGAGCGCUGAAGGUUGGUACUUGUACCAACUGGAUGAGCAGCGAACGGGUGAGUAACGCGUGGGGAAUCUGCCUUUGAGCAGGGGACAACAUUUGGAAACGAAUGCUAAUACCGCAUAAAAACUUUAAACACAAGUUUUAAGUUUGAAAGAUGCAAUUGCAUCACUCAAAGAUGAUCCCGCGUUGUAUUAGCUAGUUGGUGAGGUAAAGGCUCACCAAGGCGAUGAUACAUAGCCGACCUGAGAGGGUGAUCGGCCACAUUGGGACUGAGACACGGCCCAAACUCCUACGGGAGGCAGCAGUAGGGAAUCUUCGGCAAUGGACGAAAGUCUGACCGAGCAACGCCGCGUGAGUGAAGAAGGUUUUCGGAUCGUAAAACUCUGUUGGUAGAGAAGAACGUUGGUGAGAGUGGAAAGCUCACCAAGUGACGGUAACUACCCAGAAAGGUACGGCUAACUACGUG
rnacentral:rRNA from 1 species